AAUCCAUGAUGAGGGCACCUUCUCAAAAGAUCUUUAAAUUUCUCCCAUACAUCAUAUAAUGUCUCCAACUCAAUUUGAGAAAAAGAAGAGAUGUCUUUCCUCAACUU
rfam:Gossypium hirsutum cultivar TM-1 chromosome 2, whole genome shotgun sequence